CACAUGCAAGUCGAGCGGUAACAGAUCCAGCUUGCUGGAUGCUGACGAGCGGCGGACGGGUGAGUAAUGCAUAGGAAUCUGCCCGAUAGUGGGGGAUAACCUGGGGAAACCCAGGCUAAUACCGCAUACGUCCUACGGGAGAAAGGGGGCUCCGGCUCCCGCUAUGGGAUGAGCCUAUGUCGGAUUAGCUAGUUGGUGAGGUAACGGCUCACCAAGGCCACGAUCCGUAGCUGGUCUGAGAGGAUGAUCAGCCACAUCGGGACUGAGACACGGCCCGAACUCCUACGGGAGGCAGCAGUGGGGAAUAUUGGACAAUGGGGGCAACCCUGAUCCAGCCAUGCCGCGUGUGUGAAGAAGGCCCUCGGGUUGUAAAGCACUUUCAGCGAGGAAGAACGCCUAGCGGUUAAUACCCGCUAGGAAAGACAUCACUCGCAGAAGAAGCACCGGCUAACUCCGUGCCAGCAGCCGCGGUAAUACGGAGGGUGCAAGCGUUAAUCGGAAUUACUGGGCGUAAAGCGCGCGUAGGUGGCUUGAUAAGCCGGUUGUGAAAGCCCCGGGCUCAACCUGGGAACGGCAUCCGGAACUGUCAAGCUAGAGUGCAGGAGAGGAAGGUAGAAUUCCCGGUGUAGCGGUGAAAUGCGUAGAGAUCGGGAGGAAUACCAGUGGCGAAGGCGGCCUUCUGGACUGACACUGACACUGAGGUGCGAAAGCGUGGGUAGCAAACAGGAUUAGGUACCCUGGUAGUCCACGCCGUAAACGAUGUCGACCAGCCGUUGGGUGCCUAGCGCACUUUGUGGCGAAGUUAACGCGAUAAGUCGACCGCCUGGGGAGUACCGGCCGCAAGGUUAAAACUCAAAUGAAUUGACGGGGGGCCGCACAGGCGGUGGAGCAUGUGUUUAAUUCGAUGCCACGCGAAGAACCUUACCUACUCUGGACAUCCUGCGAUUUGUAAGAGAUACCUUAGUGCCUUCGGAACGCAGAGAACUGGUGCUGCAUGGCUAGUCGUCAGUCGUGUGUGAAUGUUGUAGUUCCGAACCCGAGCUAACCCUUGUCCUUAUUUAGCACGCGUAAUGGCGGACAUCUAAAGGAAAAUCG
rnacentral:rRNA from 1 species